GAUGAACGCUGGCGGCGUGCCUAAUACAUGCAAGUCGAGCGAACAGACGAGGAGCUUGCUCCUCUGACGUUAGCGGCGGACGGGUGAGUAACACGUGGAUAACCUACCUAUAAGACUGGGAUAACUUCGGGAAACCGGAGCUAAUACCGGAUAAUAUAUUGAGCCGCAUGGUUCAAUAGUGAAAGACGGUUUUGCUGUCACUUAUAGAUGGAUCCGCGCCGCAUUAGCUAGUUGGUAAGGUAACGGCUUACCAAGGCGACGAUGCGUAGCCGACCUGAGAGGGUGAUCGGCCACACUGGAACUGAGACACGGUCCAGACUCCUACGGGAGGCAGCAGUAGGGAAUCUUGCGCAAUGGGCGAAAGCCUGACGGAGCAACGCCGCGUGAGUGAUGAAGGUCUUCGGAUCGUAAAGCUCUGUUAUUAGGGAAGAACAAAUGUGUAAGUAACUAUGCACGUCUUGACGGUACCUAAUCAGAAAGCCACGGCUAACUACGUG
rnacentral:rRNA from 1 species